UACAGAGGGUGCUAGCGUUGUUCGGAAUCAUUGGGCGUAAAGGGCGUGUAGGCGGUUUGUUAAGUCAUGUGUGAAAUCCCUCGGCUCAACCGGGGAACGACGCAUGAAACUGGCAAGCUAGAGUACCAAAGAGGGGGGUGGAAUUCCCGGUGUAGCGGUGAAAUGCGUAGAUAUCAAGAGGAACACCUGCGGCGAAGGCGGGUUGCUGGGCCGACACUGACGCUGAGGCGCGAAAGCUAGGGGAGCGAACGGG
rnacentral:rRNA from 1 species